rnacentral:lncRNA from 1 species
AUUGGUCGAGGUCAUCUCAUCAGCCUUCUCGGCGAAGUGAGGUGUUACAAGUUAUUACAUUCGGCACAUUGAAAGCCGAAUUUGAUAUUGAACUUCGUAAGAAUAGUAACCUUGUCUUCAGGUUCGAGAGCCCAAGAGGCCGAGACGUGUUCCUUUCUCGGCCGCAAUCGCAAGACGUAGAAGUCAGCCGCGCACCCAACGUAACAUCAACAAAUUUACUCCUCGGCCGAGCUCGGCCGACGAGUUGGCACGCCCCGCAUUCACCGAAGGACGUAGUUAGCUUAUAGAUUACUCGGCCUGCGCGCCACGUAGGCUUGGUAGUUUCUAGGGUCAACAUUUUGGCACGCCUAGUGGGACCUAGUGCUAAACUACGAAGUUCAUGCCAAUUGAAACACGAUCGGUAAAAAAGAAAACAGCUAUGGGAAAGUCAACAGCAGAUUUGCCGAUUCAGAACAUAGGACAAAGUGUGGCACAGGCGCAGAAUCCCCUUAGCGCUGUGACACCUGAGUCCACAAGCGCGACUCGCCGAAAGAGAGAAGUUAAUCUCAACGGUCAACUCCGCGAUCUAGAAAUCCCUAACAGAAGCACUUGCGUUCUCAAUGAAGGGAUAGUAGAGGAAUGCGACGAGGAUGGUGGUAAAGGAUCUGAUCCACCAACAAGGUCGUUUCUUCGAAAGCGACUAGACGAGCAGUCUCGGUCAGUCGAGCAGACGUUAAGUCGAGGCAUUGAUAAGCUGCAUGACGUGAUACUCAGUUCCAAUGAGCGACAAACCAGAUUGCUCGAAAUGCUGGUUAGUAAAGUCAGUGACAGCAGGCCUUUCGAUCUUCUCCAGCACUUACCACCAGGAAACAAUCCGUUACCAAUUGUACCGGCCGAGCCUAUUCCUGCUCGGCUCAAACCAAUUGACUUGGAAAAAGAAGGAGGGUCGAAUAGUAGGUCAGACGGAACCGACCAAAGGGUCGAAGCAACACCUGUUGAUAAUGGCAAACUGAAAUUUCCAGAGAAGAAGAUGAGUGUUAAUACUGACUCGUUCCCCACGGCAACAGUAAAUAUGGUCGAUGCGUGCCUACCUAAGGACAAAGGGAAAGGAAAGGCCGAAGUUGUUGCGACGCAACGCUUGCGGAAUCAGAAUUCUCGGCCACGGUUCAUGGCCAAUUUUCGUUCAAACGAACCACCUACAGCUUUAACGGGACCCGCUAUUGUCAAACCUAUGAUGGAUUAUAGCACCGAUGAAGACAGUGGGACGGCGGUUUUGUGCAGUAAAUGUAGAGCAAAGGUCGACAGUGAGCCAGAGGAGAACACCUCUUUGCUAAUAACAAAACGACCUAUGGCCGCAACCCGGCAAAAGGUAGCCAACGUAGGCUAACAUCAAGGGGUUUUUGAUAGGCUCGGUCCUAAAGUACGGAUGGAAGAAACACCCCCGGUCAGGCGGCGCCUCGAUUUUGAUGCUUCAUUCUAUAACGAUGAUUACUAUAAACGUAAUUCUAGCAGUUCAGAAUCAUCGCGGAGCCAAAAAACCUUCAAACCUCCCGAGCCUAGAGAUCAACGUUGGUAUACAUAUCAUUCUUCGAAAGGCGUCUACACCGCAUUGUCCAAAUCCCAGAAACGCCGGCAUCAAAGGAUAGAUUGCAUGGCCCGUCGACGGGCAGCCCAAGAAACUUCGGUCCCUAAAUGGCAGCCGAAUGAUACAAUUGCUACUGAUGAUGAACGACCACCUCCAGCUAUUAUGACAGAGUUGGUUCAAGGAAAACGGCUGGUCGACCGAGAUGUCGAAACCACGUUUGAAGAGGCUAAUAAAAGGAUCAAACUUCUUCUUCGACCAGGGGAGAUGAAGGCACGCCUUGAACAUUUCAGGCAAGAGGCCGAAAGCAAAUUAGCCCCGCCGGCUAUACAAGAACCUUUGAUCAAAAUUCGACGGAAUUUGCAUCCCCCGUUCCUUGGGGAGGCUUUGGAAUAUAUGCGUAAAUUCCAUAAGAAACAUUCGGCCAACGAUCUGUAUGGUUUGCUGAAGGCAUGCCAGGACACCAUUGAUCUAGUCCUGACUUGUCCUGAUGCCGAGCGAAUCAUCCAGAAAACCUCAGACCCAGGAUUGAAAGCAAGGUUCCAGCACAUACGAGAAGCUCGUGUCCUUGGAUUUGAAGUCGACCCAUACACUGAUAUCGAUGUAGUCGACCUUCCUUUCUCAAUGGAGGACCUUUAGUAUUUACGAUAUCACUUCGAAGUUUUUUCGGCUGUUUCGCUCUUCGACCUUACGACCGACGAAAUAGCACGUGUUGCACGUCUGGAUGCGUAUCUCGACACCAGCGAUGCCCGGCUACACUACCAAGAGUAGAUCCAGGUCCUGACCCCAAGCACACUGUCGAUCUCAACCUCACCUGAGGCAAUCACGCAGAGCCAACAAGUUGCCGAAGCAGCACCGCAGGAUCAAACCAUCGAAGAAGGAACAGAAGAUUCUCGUUGUCCAACUUUGACAACAACGGAGUCCGCAGUCGCCGACCAGCCGACAGAUGAGGCUAGCGAGGAGAGUCCUAACCCGUUGGGCCCGUCAGUCCUCGAUAACAUGGAAAUCAGUAUGGUCUAUGUGUUACCCUCUGAUUUUCAAUCAAGCACGGCUCAACUGAAUUUCCUCGAUGGUGAUGUAGUCGCCGAAGAAGCCGGCCAUGUUGAUUUUGUAUCUGUUGCUGAAGUUGAGUCAACAAUAAAAGAUGAUAGUCUAAAGGCCGUUUUGGUUGAAUUGUUUCCUCGUUCAUCAUCGGCCAAACUUCACCAUUUAAAGCCGUUGUAUGUGACGGCCCACAUCGAGGGAUAUCCAGUUUCUAAAGUUUUUGUCGACUGUGGAGCUACCGUCAAUAUCAUUCCUCUGAACAUCAUGAAGGUCUUACGUCGCUCGAAUGACGAACUUAUUCCGUCAGGGAUCACAAUGAGUAGUUUCGUCGGCGACAAAUCCCAAACCAAAGGUGUAUUUCCGUUAACUGUGAAUAUUGCCGGUCGCACUUACAUGACCGCCUUUUUUGUGGUUGAUUCCAAAACCGAGUAUAAUGCACUGCUCGGUCGAGAUUGGAUUCACCAAACCAGCUGUAUUCCUUCCUCAUUGUAUCAAGUGCUUGUCUUUUGGGACGACAACUCGAUCACUGUUCACCCGGUCUAUAGCCAGCCCUUCGAAGCUAACAUGAUCCAAGCACGGUAUUAUGAUGACCACGUCGGCUACAUUACUUUGCAAGGCUUCAAUGAAGAAGGACGGCCGACUCGGAUUUCGGUUCAGAAAGCUAUCGAGGUUGGCGCCGAGACUGUCCACCAGGAUUCGGUGAGACUUGGAUUAGCCAACUUCUUCCCCGAAGUCGAUGUUUGACACCGAUCAGGAAACACGUAGGGCCGCGAUUUCAUCUACUAUGGAAUGACUGCUGGCCCAUUGGUAUACUAUAUCUAAACAACCAAAUUCGGGCGUCAACCUCGUCGAGUUCCUUGCCGAAGGAGAUAAUGGUCCUGUCUUAUCUCUUGAUAAAAUUCAAGCUGCCCCGGCCGAGCUCGAAGAUCAUCGGCCCCAAGUUAAGGACCCCCUGGAAGAGAUUAAUGUUGGGACGGCCGAUGACCCACGGCCUUUGUUUGUUAGUGCUUUACUUUCCCAACAAAUGAAGGACGAGUUUCGUGCCUUGCUUACGGAGUUCAAAGAUUGUUUUGCUUGGAGUUACCAUGAAAUGCCCGGCUUAGAUCGUACUUUGGUCGAGCAUGAAUUACGUAUUAAGCUCGGAUGUAAACCUUUUCGUCAGCCACCUCGUCGAUUCUCGACCGAAGUGCAACUCGGCAUCAAGGAUGAAUUGGUUCGGCUUUUGAAAGCCGGGUUCAUUCGGACAGCUCGAUAUGUCGAAUGGUUGGCAAAUAUCGUUCCUGUUUUAAAGAAAAAUUGUGCAUUACGCAUCUGCAUCGAUUUCAGAAAUCUGAAUCUGGCAACUCCCAAAGAUGAGUAUCCAAUGCGGAUUUCAGAUCUGUUAAUCGAUGCCGCGAUGAAUCAUGCAAUCUUAUCCUUUAUGGAUGGACAUGCCGGGUACAACCAAAUAUUCAUUGCCGAAGCCGAUGUGCACAAAACUGCUUUCCGUUGCCCGAGGGCACUUGGCACUUAUGAAUGGGUUGUUAUGCCAUUCGGCCUAAAAAAUGCCGGCGCCACAUACCAACGGGCGAUGAACACCAUCUUUCAUGAUUUAAUUGGAACCAUCGUCGAAGUUUAUAUCGACGAUGUUGUCAUCAAAUCUAAACGCCGCCGGACACAUCUGGACGAUCUCCGACAGGCUUUCCUCCGCAUGCGUCGGCACAACCUCAAGAUGAAUCCUGCCAAAUGUGCCUUCGGCGUGUCGGCCGGGAAUUUUCUUGGUUUCCUCGUGCAUCACCGUGGGAUUAAAGUCUAUGCGAAUAAGGCACGCACAAUCAUUAAUGCCCCACCCCCAACGAUGAAGAAACAACUCCAGUCCUUACUCGGACAGAUCAAUUUCCUCCGUCGAUUUAUUGCUAACUCGGCAGGUAAAAUGAAACGUUCUCCACGCUUUUGAAACUCAAGGACUCAGAUAAAUUCGUGUGGAACGACAAGCAUCAGGCGGCGUUUACGCAAAUCAAAGUCUCCCUCACGAACCCAUCUGUCCUGGUUCCUCCUCGGCGCGGUAAGCCUCUUAAGCUUUAUAUCUCGGCGGCCGAAGAGUCCAUCGGCUGCCUCCUCGCGUAAGACAACGACGCCGGACGGGAGCAGGCUAUUUUUUAUCUCAAUCGCAAUCUCAGUCAACCAGAGAUCAAUUAUCCAGCCGUCGAGAAGCUGUGCGUGGCCGUAUUUUUUCGCCGCUUCCAAGCUUCGGUAUUAUAUGCUCCCAUCGGUCACCCAAGUCAUUGCUCAGACCGACGUCAUCCGCUACAUGCUCACCCGACCAAUCGUAAAGGGCCGCAUUGGGAAAUGGACAAUGGCACUGUCCGAAUUUAGCUUGCAGUACGUAGCCCAGAAAGCUGUCAAGGGCCAGACACUGGCUGAUUUCCUUGCUCAACACCCCUCCCCAUAUGGUUUUGGGGGCAACGACGUUGAAAUCGGCAUGGUUCAGACGCGCGACAACCACUGGACGAUGUACUUUGACGGCUCCAGUACGUCAUCUUCGGUGGGCGUGGGAAUUGUCAUUCAAUCCCCAAACCACGAUCGCUAGUUAUUUUCGCUUAAGUUGGAUUUUGAAUGCACCAACAAUCAGGCCGAAUACGAAGCCCUAAUCAUCGGCCUUGGAAUCCUUCAUGACCUGCGGGCGACCCGCGCCCUCGUCCUCGGCGACUCCGAACUUGUGAUUAACCAACUUAAUGGUUCUUUUCGUUGCAUGAGUUGUACCCUGGCACCUUACAACAUGGUCGCCAGCUAUUUGGCCGAAUCCUUCGACGGUAUUACAUUUAAACAUAUUUCCCGGAGUCAUAAUACCGACGCAGACGAAUUGGCUCAAAUUGCCUCCGGCGCACAACUCCUGAGGGGCAAGCUAGGUCGAGAGAUACCGGUGUUACUACAAUUAUACCCGACCUUGGUUAACCAGUAAAUCCUCCGACGCGACGACAUGAUACGCACCAGGGUUAUGUCCUUACCUUCGUUGUUAGAUCGGCAGGACUCUGUAGAGAUUUGCACGACCGAGGUAAUACUAGAUGAUUGGAGAAAACCUAUUAUGCAGUACCUUGACAAUCCCAAUGGAAAACAUAGUCGCAGGACACGAGUUCACGCCACGAACUAUGUCACGUACCAGAACGAGUUAUACAGAAAAGGCGAAGAUGGUUUGUUACUGCUAUGCCUCGGCCCCCAAGAGAGUGCUCGAGCGAUUACAGAAGUCCAUGAAGGGGUAUGCGGAGCUCAUCAAUCCGGACGGAAAAUGCGAUGGCUACUUCGACGGCACGGCUAUUUUUGGCCAAGAAUACUAAAGGAUUGUAUCGAGUUUGCACGAUGAUGUGUACAGUGCCAAAUUCACGGGCCUAUACAAAGGGUCCCGGCCGAAUCAUUGCAUUCGGUCAUUAAGCCAUGGCCGUUUAGAAGAUGGGCCAUGGACGUAAUCGGCAAAAUCACACCAUCUUCUGGAGCUGCUAAGCACGCAUGGAUAAUAGUCGCAACCGAUUACUUUACUAAGUGGGUCGAAGCGAAAUCAUAUGCCGAACUAACAUCUAAAUAAGUUUGUGACUUCGUGGAGGAACACAUUGUGACCAGAUUUGGCGUACCAGAAACGAUCAUAACGGACAAUGGAACAAUCUUCACAGCCGAGAGGUUUAAAGAGUAUACGGCAAAUUUGAAAAUUCGGCUUGAACAGUCUACACCAUAUUACCCACAAGCGAAUGGGCAGGCCGAGGCAAGUAAUAAAGUGUUGAUCGGCAUCCUCGAAAAAAUAAUAAAAGAAAGGCCUGGCAUGUGGCAUUUGAAGUUGAACGAGGCAUUAUGGGCAUAUCGAACAUCGCCUUGAUCGACGACUGCGACAACCCCAUACGCAUUAACUUACGGACACGAUGCAAUGUUACCAGUCGAGUUAAGCAUAAAUUCGUUGCGAUUAAUUGAACAAAGUAGUUUGUUUAGCGCCGAAUAUAAUCAGUCCAUGAGACAAGAUUUAGAAGAUUUGGAAGAAGUGCGACUUGACGCUUAUAACUUACUGGUGGCACAAAAAUGGAUUGCCGAGCGAGCCUAUAAUCAAAAGGUACGAUAGAAAACAUUCGGCGAGGGUGAUUUGGUUUGGCAAACAGUGUUACCCGUAAGACUAAAAGACCCUAGGUUCGGUAAGUGGUCGCCAAAUUGGGAAGGACCGUUCGUUGUACAUAAAGUAUACGGAAAAGGGGCGUAUCAUCUUAAAGACCGGACCGGUUUGGUUCACAGAUUACCAAUCAACGGGAAGUUUUUGAAGAAAUACUACCCGGUCACGUGGGAAAUGCAGGAAUAGAAAACCAAUUCAUUAAGAUUGAUAAGCAUGUACAAAAUGAGUAAGUCGAUCGGUUUACAUUCAAGUACAUUCAAGGUGAAGAGGGUAGAAGAAUGCCGAGCAGGGCCUUCAACUCCAACCACCGCACCUCGCCCAUGAUAACCUCGGCUUGCCAGCUUCAACCGCUUGACCCGUUUUGUGGUCGCCGCGUACUCAGUUAGGUAAUCUUUUCCGCCUGACUCGAAGUCCUUUGCAAGCUCGGAGGCAAUGGUCGACCUACGUUUCGCUAGUUCGGCCAUUUGACGGUCGAGCUCGGCUAAUGCUUCUCCUUUUGCCUUUAAAGCGUCGAUUUUCAGACGGAUUGUCUUAGACAGCCGUGGCAGUUUGCAGGUCUUGUUCAGCCUUUAGAGCGGUCUGGAAGAUACUAAAUGUCUCCCGAACCCGCUCCAAGGCAGACGAUGCCCGAACGAUAACAUCUCCGCUCAGACGACCGUCAUCUCCGAGGUCGUUCAGACAUGCGCCAAGCAAAUCAAGACCGUGUGUUCGAGUACUUGCGAUGCCGAAAGCGACAAGACUUCUCGCAACUGAGUUAGAGCGGUUGAGUCGACAACUUCAGUCGUGGCGGCCGAAGGACCAGACCCUGCAGUUGUGCUGGAGAUGAGGGCUUUGAAUUCGACCUCCCACGAAGCCUGCACACACAAAUCAGGUUAAGCUUAAAAGAAGGCAUGAAAAGGAUAGCAAGAAGGUUUCGUUUUUUUUUAACCUGCCGAGAAGAGACCUCGGCCAUGUCUCCAGGAUCGUUGCUCGAACCUAAAGAACUCAAUGGCCGAGCCCAGUGUUUUAGACUGCUUCUCAGUUCACGCGGCCGAUGGAGGUUAUCUACGUUUGAUGACCACUGAGUCGGCCAAGAAAUAUAGAUAACGCCCUUCGGUGCAUAGAACUUUCGAUGAAAAGAGUGUAUAGGCACCUAACAUUUAGUAUUUUCCUCGUUUAGAAUUCUAAGGCAGAAAAGUGAUCAAGGAAAGACGGUAGAGGGUACUUACGAAGGCCGAAGUAGCCUCCUGCAGAGGAAUGUGGAGGUCCUGGUCUUGAGGAUGAACAGGCGUUUCCGCCGUUACCUCUGGCUCCUCGGCCGGUCGUUUACCACGGUCGGCCGUAGAGGGGCCGACUGAGACAGCCGCUUCGGACGAAGGAGGGACGUCCUGGUCCUGAGGAUGAGCGGGGGGUUCGGCCACCGCUGUUGGUUCCUCGACCAGACGUUUACCACGGUUAGCCGUGGAGAGGCCGGCUUGAACAGCCAUCUCGGACAUCGAAGGAGGUUGUCGGCGAGUAUGAGGGCGAUUUGCCAGCGGAGCCUCGUCGCUCUCCUCGCUCUCUUCCAGGACGAAGACCGAGGGCUUUGGAUUUACAAGGGAAGUUCCCUCAGUCGCAGAGACCGCCUUUUCCAGGACAGGUGCAGCCUCGACGGAGGGGGGUACAACUGGUGUACCGGCCCCAGAAACAGGCCGCACUUGAACUGUCUCUGUGGCCGGAGUUAGCUGUUUCUUGACCAAGGGUUGGCCGAUGGCAGAAGAAGGGGAAACACUGGGAGUCGUCACCCCCGUAGUUUGACUGGAGAUGACGUGGAUCUCCCGUGCUCCCUUCUUUGCUAGUUUUUUGACCUGCUUGGCGGGCGGCGGAGGUUCGACAGCCGGCUCGACCUCUUGGCGAGGCCGUUUGUUCAGCACGGCCCGACCAGCAGUCUUAGCCCUCUUAGCCACGACCGAUUUUUUCUCGGUCGUAGCCGCAACAACUACCUCCACUUUUCUCAAUGGCCGACUACCUGAGAGAAUAAAAGCAAAUCAGCAAGGCAAAUCAAUAUGCAAAGUUGAAGGAAAAUGGGAGAAAUGAACAGUUACCUUGAGCUUAGGGGGCCGAGGCCUUCUUAGGUCGUUCACCGAAGAGUUUGUUCAACACACAUUCGACCGGAGCACCAAAGAACUCCUGGGUAUAAUCUUCCCACCAAUCACCGAAGGUGUCAGUGCAAAGGGUUUCUGGGGUGGCCGGUCGAAGGUGAAAUUUUUGGCAUUGCUCUUGGAACUCCCUCGCGGCGGUAUUGCAUUCAUUCUCCGAGGAACGGGGUUCACGUCCACGGCUUAGGACGGUUCGGGAGGAGAAAAGGGGAACCGGGCAGCCUUGGAGGUAGCCGAGCUGUCGAGCAAGGAAGUUAGGAUGGUACACUUCCCAACCCGCUCGUUUCCCAUCACAGCCAAGAGGAAGGUCGCGAGUAAGUACGAACGACCCCCAGGACUGACGAAGGUCGGCAUCUUCGUCCGCGCCCCACAUGGAUGUGGGUAGCCUGAUGGAGGAAAGAUAGUCUCGACGACGACAUAUUAGGAAUUCGUCAUUGGAAAGGUCAUCAAGGGCGAAGAGGUACUUAAAUACCUCUUCGGCUUGGUGAGGGGGUGUCGGUCGGGAGGCCAGCUGAGGUCCGAGCGCUUCCAUUGGCGAGAAAUCGGCUAUGGCCGGCCGAAGGGAGGCGAAGUAAACUUGCAACCAGAGUUGGAAGACCCAGAGGGGACCAUUCUGGUGUGGGUCGAUCUUGUGAAGCGUCGUCUCGGCCAGGCAGCGGAAAAGAUGGGUAAGAAUGUUGGAACUAAGUGACAGGACGUGGCCACUAGCCAGGGCUUCGGCUACCGGCAUGUUCUCGACCAAUCAUUUGUUCGAUUUGGUACAACAAAUGUACUUGUUGUACCAAUAGAAAAGGAAAGCUUCAUGUUUUCCUUCUCGCAGGUCAUCUUCUCCUCGGCCAGUGAAAUGGAGAUAGAGGGUGUUGUAAUUGAAGAAAUUCUUGUGGAGUUUCUGAAUGUCUUCUUUCGACGGGAUUUGACCUUCACGGUUCAACGUCUCAAAAGCCCGUCGAUCGAAAAGCGUCUUCAGGUCAACAUUCGACGGGUACCCGGAGAGGGUCGUUCAGCCAUAAGGUCAUGAUGGCAUGAUGGUUAAGGUAGCCGCACGCCUUAGACGUCAUUAUUGGGGAUUGGCCGUGUUAGAGGACGCCACGUGGGGAGUUUGGUUAGCAGGAUCAGGAUCGUGCAAUCGUGUUCAAUAAAUGCACCUUGGAAAUAGGGCACUAGGGUUCUAAGUAUUAGAUUCGCUUCUUCAAGGUCGAAACUCGGCCGAAGAAUUCAGGCCGAGGACCUCAGAAGCGAGGGGGCAAUGUUUGGGCCCAAAAUAAUAGUUUGGGCCGAGUAAAGAAUCAUUCUCGGCCCGGAAGGCCUUGCGGCGUGGAUCGUUCAGUACGUGGGCCUCCAAACCUAGGUCGGCUAGGUCAUAACGCAAGACAAGUCGAGUCCUAGUGCAAUAGGGAGUCUCGGCAGGAUUAAUAACUCGGAAGCGAAUCCGGCUCGGUUCAGGACUAAGUUCACAAUCCUAGUGGAAAUAGGACUGGUCGAGUUGGUGUUGAUCCAGAGAGAAGACCUAGUCCGAGUAGGGUUUUAACUCGGAUUCAAAGAGAGCCGUUGCUAUAAAUAGGAGAGGUUGUGCAUCGUUUCAAGCCUCCUGCAAAUCAAUACAAAAUUGCCCUGCGCAAACUCUCAACAACUUGAGAUUUUUUUUCUUUUUUUUUUUCGCUGACACAUCUUCCGUUGGCAUCAACAGCACUGUGGAAGCAACCGGUGAUAUCUUAAGUCGGCAUAGAUAGCUCUGUCACCGUAGAAUCAGUCGGUCUCGCAAUAUCUUCCGUUGGCAUCAACAACACUGUGGUGAGAACGGUUGAUUAUCUAUCCAAGUCUCGGUCGGGAAGGAUUUCUAAAUCCUUAUUGGUCGAGGUCAUCUCAUCAGCCUUCUCGGCGAAGUGAGGUGUUACAAGUUAUUACAUUCGGCACAUUGAAAACCGAAUUUGAUAUUGAACUUCGUAAGAAUAGUAACCUUGUCUUCAGGUUCGAGAGCCCAAGAGGCCGAGACGUGUUCCUUUCUCGGCCGCAAUCGCAAGACGUAGAAGUCAGCCGCGCACCCAACG